AUGAAGAAGACUCAACCUUUGAAAUGGCUUGAUCUUCCCUCAACAUCUUGUGUAGCCAAAGAGGAGUUUAUCUCCACCUUCACGGUGAUGCUCUCUAGUAUUUCUCUCUGUGUGAAGAAGCACUUCUGUUUUAGCCUAUCUGAGCAAUGGUGCUCACGGCAUGCACCUCCAAAUGGUGAGACAUGUUGGCCCCCUUUCUAUCUGCCAAGUCUUCUUUAUAUAACCAAAGAAUUUGGUCCAACAGCUGCUUGCAUGAAGAAACCAUGCAAGUUGUCCUGA
rnacentral:lncRNA from 1 species